rnacentral:rRNA from 1 species
CGGGGUAACGGGACCGACCGAGACGACGAUGCGUAGGGGUUCUGAGAGGAAGGUCCCCCACACUGGUACUGAGACACGGACCAGACUCCUACGGGAGGCAGCAG